ACAUAUCAGGACCCCAUUCCGACAAUUUAUCAAAAGUCCUCAUGAUGUUUACAACAACAGGUUAUCAAUCUACGGAUCAGAUAAUUGUUAUUGUAAUUGUUAGCCGACCGUACUCGGCCUACAUGCGCACCUUCCAUUCCAACACAUUGGUCCUCGCACACCAACUCAGCCAACAAUGAAGCAUACCUGGAGGUAACAGGUAUAAACACACUGUGAAACGUCAUCGCAGUGAGUAAGCAAUUAUCACAAUUUGAUCGCGUAAACAAGUGUAUUGAACCUCCAAGAAAACUGAUUCUAAACUACCCUAAUCUAGUGCUACUUAAUUGCCUUAAAUCUAACUUAGUCUAAUGUAGUCUAGUGCCUAGAAACUACCGUAUAACUACAACUAAAGUCGGAUAGAGAUAGCAGUUACCCACUAGCGGGAAUCCGUGGUUUAUAUUUUGCUAAAAUUCGACCUAAAUCGCACCAGAAUUUCCGUAUCGUAACCGGAUAAACGAAAUACAGUAGGCACUAAACGAAAAUUAUAAUCUCCCGUUACGAAACCCGAGUGUUUUAUUGGAGAUUACAAUUGCGGAAAUACCCUGCUGUUACUCCGUUGACCAAAGUCAACAUAUUAUAAUUUUCGUUUAUGCGAAUAUCUACGAUUAAUUCUCGGGUAUGUCGAACCGAAAUAGAACCAAACAGAGUGGAAAAAGCACUUCAGAGGGUGCCAAAGAUAAUGCUACUGCGGCAUGGCCAAAACCGGUAGGAAGGGGUGUGUCGGACAGUGGAAAAGUGUGUGGUAGUGGUAAAAUUGGACAGGUGACCUCGAAAGUUCCAAGGGGUAAGCAGUUCGAUGAUACUGUACCCGGCUGGGCGUGUAAAAUCUGCCAGGGAGCGGAUACCGAAGAUAUGGUACAAUGCGAUGUUUGCGAUAAGUGGCAUCAUUAUGAGUGUGUUGGAGUAGCAGACGAUAUUGCGAACGUCAGCUGGAGAUGUCCCAACUGCGUAGCUGAAAGGAAGUACCAGCGUAAACUGCAGCAGAUCCCAAAAUAUGCAGGUGAUCAAGACAAAUCGUCUAAACAAAAUCA